rnacentral:rRNA from 1 species
CCUACGGGGGGCAGCAGUGGGGAAUAUUGCACAAUGGGGGAAACCCUGAUGCAGCGACGCCGCGUGAGCGAAGAAGUAUUUCGGUAUGUAAAGCUCUAUCAGCAGGGAAGAAAAUGACGGUACCUGACUAAGAAGCCCCGGCUAACUACGUGCCAGCAGCCGCGGUAAUACGUAGGGGGCAAGCGUUAUCCGGAUUUACUGGGUGUAAAGGGAGCGUAGACGGCUUUGCAAGUCUGAAGUGAAAGCCCAGGGCUCAACCUUGGGACUGCUUUGGAAACUGUAGAGCUUGAGUACCGGAGGGGUAA